GGGUGUCGCGCCGCGUUGGUGCGCCAGGUGUUGCGAAAGGUCGGGCCGCCUCG
rnacentral:ncRNA from 2 species